rnacentral:lncRNA from 1 species
CAACAAUAAAUUAAGCACUUGCACUAGAAAGAUUGAAAGAGAGCUUGAGAGAGAUUGAGAGAUAUUGAUGAAUUGAUGAAUAAAAAUGAAAGAAUUAGAGGGUAUUUAUAGUUGAGAAAUGGGAAAUAGUAUAAUUAUAUAAAGUUUGGGGUUAAAUUAAAGUUUGGGGGCCAAAUUAUUUUUUAAACUUCCAAACGGCUAGUUUUGAAAAAGAGCCGUCUGGAAAUUAUUAUUAUUAUUUUU